CCACAGUCAUCCUGGUUAUGAAUGUUGGCUUUCAGGAAUAGACGUCAGCACUCAGAUGCUUAAUCAGCAAUUUAAGGAACCCUUUGUAGCAGUUGUGAUUGACCCAACCAGGACAACAUCUGCUGGAAAGGUUAAUUUAGGUGCAUUCAGGACAUAUCCAAAGGGUUACAAACCACUAGAUGAAGGCCUGUCAGAGUACCAGACAAUUACUUUAAACAAAAUUGAGGAUUUGGGGGUGCAUUGCAAACGAUAUUAUGCCUUGGAGGUUACAUAUUUCAAGUCUUCCCUAGAUCGCAAGCUACUUGAGCUCUUAUGGAACAAGUAUUGGGUUAAUACACUGAGUUCUUCCUGCUUGCUAACUAAUGCAGACUAUACAAUGGGGCAGGUAUUUCACUUGUCAGAAAAGCUUGAGCAGUCUGAAGGCCAGCUUGGCCUGGGAAGUUUUACACAAACUGGCCAAAGCAAUCAGAGACAGCUGUAAAACAACAAUUGAAGCCAUCCAUGGAUUGAUGUCUCAAGUGAUU